GGAAGUAGCUCUGUGCUUAGAGCAUCCGCUUUGCAUGCACAAGGUACCCGGUUCAAUUCCUGGCAUCUCCA